UUUUGAUCAGAGCGUCCACACCGUCGAUGACUCGCUGGCAGAGUUGGACCUAAAAAGCAGGGAAAUUUCCAUGGAAACACAAAGGAGAGUAUAGUGCACUACAGACCCAUGGUGUUCAACGUACCUUAUACAGUUACAGGAUGAUCUGAUCUGUCGGAAUUGAAAAGACAGGAAAAACUACUUGGACGACUCGCCGAUUGUUGAUUGAAAAGAGGGAAAAAAUCACGGUAUGCCACCACCUUUUUAACCACCAAUUGAAGUCGGUUAAAAAAGCAACAGAGCGGCAAAAUGGGUGAAGGGCCCUCAAAAGGAACAACACCCUUGCUCCAACCGCCCUUCAAACCCAGCUCUGGCCCCAUGAAGAAGUGAGGAAAAAAAGGGCAAGUUAAACAGUCGCUUUCUAAUAACCUGGGCGGGGCAAGUAAAUAUUUUAUGAUUGCUUUAACACGAUCUUGUUUCUCCCUUUUGCCCCCUGACUGUCCUCAGGCAUCUCUUGUCUCCAGCCUCUUUUUUUCCCGGUUCUCUUUUGCCAAAUCUGAAGUGUUGCUUGAAUUGCCAGCAUUUACCCAAGUCCUUAUGUGGACAAUACCUCUCGAGUACUGAGCACACGCAGACGUAUACAGCACACUGAGACUCCGUGAUGAAAAAAAAAUGCUCUUGAAGUUUUGAAGAUGAUAAUAGUCACAAUUGUA